rnacentral:rRNA from 1 species
GACGAACGCUGGCGGCGUGCCUAAUACAUGCAAGUUGAGCGAUGAAGAUUGGUGCUUGCACCAAUUUGAAGAGCAGCGAACGGGUGAGUAACGCGUGGGGAAUCUGCCUUUGAGCGGGGGACAACAUUUGGAAACGAAUGCUAAUACCGCAUAACAACUUUAAACAUAAGUUUUAAGUUUGAAAGAUGCAAUUGCAUCACUCAAAGAUGAUCCCGCGUUGUAUUAGCUAGUUGGUGAGGUAAAGGCUCACCAAGGCGAUGAUACAUAGCCGACCUGAGAGGGUGAUCGGCCACAUUGGGACUGAGACACGGCCCAAACUCCUACGGGAGGCAGCAGUAGGGAAUCUUCGGCAAUGGACGAAAGUCUGACCGAGCAACGCCGCGUGAGUGAAGAAGGUUCUCGGAUCGUAAAACUCUGUUGGUAGAGAAGAACGUUGGUGAGAGUGGAAAGCUCAUCAAGUGACGGUAACUACACAGAAAGGGACGGCUAACUACGUG